rnacentral:rRNA from 1 species
CCAGACUCCUACGGGAGGCAGCAGUGGGGAAUAUUGGGCAAUGGGCGCAAGCCUGACCCAGCAACGCCGCGUGAAGGAAGAAGGCUUUCGGGUUGUAAACUUCUUUUCUUGGGGACGAAGAAAGUGACGGUACCCAAGGAAUAAGCCACGGCUAACUACGUGCCAGCAGCCGCGGUAAUACGUAGGUGGCAAGCGUUAUCCGGAUUUACUGGGUGUAAAGGGCGUGUAGGCGGGGACGCAAGUCAGAUGUGAAAACCACGGGCUCAACCUGUGGCCUGCAUUUGAAACUGUGUUUCUUGAGUACUGGAGAGGCAGACGGAAUUCCUAGUGUAGCGGUGAAAUGCGUAGAUAUUAGGAGGAACACCAGUGGCGAAGGCGGCCUGCUGGACAGCAACUGACGCUGAGGCGCGAAAGCGUGGGGAGCAAACAGGAUUAGAUACCCGAGUA